GAUGAACGCUGGCGGCGUGCCUAAUACAUGCAAGUCGAGCGAACAGAUAAGGAGCUUGCUCCUUUGACGUUAGCGGCGGACGGGUGAGUAACACGUGGGUAACCUACCUAUAAGACUGGAAUAACUCCGGGAAACCGGGGCUAAUGCCGGAUAACAUAUUGAACCGCAUGGUUCUACAGUGAAAGGCGGCUUUGCUGUCACUUAUAGAUGGACCCGCGCCGUAUUAGCUAGUUGGUGAGGUAACGGCUCACCAAGGCAACGAUACGUAGCCGACCUGAGAGGGUGAUCGGCCACACUGGAACUGAGACACGGUCCAGACUCCUACGGGAGGCAGCAGUGGGGAAUCUUCCGCAAUGGGCGAAAGCCUGACGGAGCAACGCCGCGUGAGUGAUGAAGGUCUUCGGAUCGUAAAACUCUGUUAUUAGGGAAGAACAAAUGCGUAAGUAACUGUGCGCGUCUUGACGGUACCUAAUCAGAAAGCCACGGCUAACUACGUG
rnacentral:rRNA from 1 species